rnacentral:rRNA from 1 species
CUGCCUGGGUAACCAGGAGGAAGGUGGGGAUGACGUCAAAUCAUCAUGCCCCUUAUGUCCAGGGCUACACACGUGCUACAAUGGUAGGUACAAUAAGACGCAAGACCGUGAGGUGGAGCAAAACUUAUAAAACCUAUCUCAGUUCGGAUUGUAGGCUGCAACUCGCCUACAUGAAGCUGGAGUUGCUAGUAAUCGCGAAUCAGAAUGUCGCGGUGAAUACGUUCCCGGGCCUUGUACACACCGCCCGUCACACC